CUAGUUCCCUGACCAGGGAUUGAAACUGGGCUCCCUGCAUUGGGAGUGUGGAGUCUUAGCCACUGGAUCACCAGGGAGGUCCCUACCUGUCUUCUUUUGAUGAAAACUCACUCUGGAGAAAUGGCAACUGAUGAGGUGCUGCCUGGCUUUUUUCUACGAGAGCUGUAACCUGUGAAAAGAUAUCAUGACCUACAAGUGGGCAAGGACUGUCAUCUAAAUCUUAAGGGAAGAACGUGGAUGCUGCAUAAGAGUGAUUGUAGGAAAGAUCUAAUUAGCUGCCAAGUGCCUUCAGCUACCCACACCUGCUCAACCCACUACCAGAAGGUUUAACCUCCAAGAGGUGACGGAGUACAUUUGUUUGACUCAUAACUGAACCUUUAGCACAGUACCUGGCAUACAGUAGCUGCUUUAUAAGUGCUUGUUGAAUAAACAGAAGAAGAAUC